UUACAAGCAGAGGGUUUGGAUAUGUGGGGCACGACCUGAAGAAGAAGAAACAUUUUAGUUUACAAUAGUUCAGAUUAUUGCUUCAAGCCCUUACACCACGACUGACAACUUAUUCUUUGAGCCACUCUCUGUUAGGGCCUUUCAUUGAUUCGGAUCACCCCGAGAUCAAGAAAGGAGCUUUAAACAGGACUUAUGAUGAUUUAUUCUGUCUUGAAAUCCUUAGGAGGCUUCAAGAUUAUGUGGAAUAUAUGGGCUCUGUUACACGUGUGAUUCUUGUGCCAUCUAUACACAAUGCACAUCAUGACUAUGUAUUUCCUCAGCUGAUCAAGAUCGACAGAUAACUUGCAUUACAAAUCCAGGAAUGAUCUCAACAAAUAAGGUGAAAGUAGGAUGUUGUAGUGUGGAUGUCCUGAAACAACUUAGUAUGGAUGUGGUGUCACGUGGGAUCAAGAAUCGCAUGAAUACACUAACAAACCAUCUACUGAGUCAACGCAGGCAUGUUUUCAAAAUUCAAAUAAUAUUUUUCUUUUUUCUUUUUUCUUAAUUUACUAUUUUUACGUUUGUGACAACAGCUUUUAUCCUUUGUACCCACCCAUGGAAGACACUUCUGUUUACUUGUCGCUUGCUCCAGAAGCUCCGCUAUGUUGAAUCCUAAAGGACGGAUACGGAAAAUGGUGGAUGGAGGUGGUGCAAGUGUAAUAUACAUGGAUACCGAGCAUGUAGAAUCUUGGACAAAUCAUUUGAGGAGUUCACAUUCUACAAUACCUUCACCAGUUUGUGCUAAAGUUGCAUUUGGAACCUACUAGCAGUAAGUCUCUUCCUUGAAAUGGUAACGACUCAAUAACACAAAAAUUACGAGUUACCAAAACUCAACAUGGCAAGAAAGCAAUCAUUAUGCGCAUACGAAUAAGCUACAAGUUGAACAACAAGGACAUGUUGGAAGAAAGACAUCCCUCGUCCAAAUCAUGGAUAUUUGAAUUUGUUGAUUUUGGAGGUGAAAUCAGACAAGAUAUAUGGUGCUAAUAAAGAAAGGUGCUUUAUGUUCUCAUACUAGCAUUGGUCAAGGGAGUACUACUACAUGGAAGGUGCUUCAAUAGACACUUGCUUACAACAAUGUACACAAAUUAACUAAGGAAAUAGCAAUGUAGUACUAGGUUAUAUAGUUAAGGAAAACCUAUUAAUAAUAAUGUACAAAUAUUUGUCUACUAUCUGAAUGAUUAUUUGUAUGACAAUAAAUUUUAUGCAAUGGAUUGUAUUUUUUGUGUA